GCACCGAAGCCUGUGGCCGUUUGGCCCCUAGGCAAUGUGGUGUUCAGGUCAGCUCGCGGGGAUACUGCUCCACCCUAAGUCCUAUAAUGAGUAAGGUUACUCGGACGUGGCCCACAGAGGGUGAAAGGCCCGUGGGGGUGGAGACUCAGUUUGGCCAGUAUCUUCCUGAGCAGACCUUGGAGUCGGGUUGUUUGUGAAUGCAGCCCAAAGUGGGUGGUAAACUCCAUCCAAGGCUAAAUACUUGCACGAGUCCGAUAGCGAACAAGUACCGUGAGGGAAAGUUGAAAAGUACUUUGAAGAGAGAGUAAACAGUGCGUGAAACCGCUCAGAGGUAAACGGGUGGAGUUGAACUGCAAGCUCCGAGGAUUCAGCUGGUGAGAUUGGCAUGAGCUUGGUCAUGUGGGUUGUGAGUUCGGGUCUGCUUAGCUGCAGGUCCUCGCCUUUGGUGGGGAUGCGCGUAUCGCUUAUCAAGCGUUGUGCGCCCGGGCUUCUCGAGCCUUCUCGCUAGUGCACUUUCUCGGAGUGUUCACCACGACCGGCGUUGCUGUCUGGCUGGUGCGGUUAAACCGGUCUUGUAGGGUCCUUGUGGCCUUGCUUGGUCGGGAUGGCAGGUAGCCCGUUGUGUACUUCGGUGUGCUUCGGGUGUAAUAGCCGACUGCAUCGGUUCUGUGCGGUACGUCGGAGACGGCGGCUUGUUGUGCGUGCGGGCGUGCCUGUUGCGCUGGCGGCUCUGAGUCUGGUUGCCUUGUUGCUUGUAAAUGCAGGCCUGGUGAUGGCUCGGGGUCGUUUGGUGUGCGGUUGCGUUCGUGGCACUUUAAAGGGCCUAAAGUCUGUGGUGUAGUGGUAGACUAUCCACCUGACCCGUCUUGAAACACGGACCAAGGAGAGUAACAUGUGCGCGAGUCAUUGGGCGUUACGAAACCCAAAGGCGAAGUGAAAGUAAAGGUUCGGCUUGUCCGGACUGAGGUGAGAUCCUGUCGUUUCUCACGCCUGGUACUACCAAGCAUCGAGCGGCGGGCGCAUCACCGGCCCGUCCCAUGGCGUAGUGGCGGCCUCGUGCCUGCUCAUCGUCGGGGCGGAGCAUGAGCGUACAUGUUGAGACCCGAAAGAUGGUGAACUAUGCUUGCGCAGGUUGAAGCCAGAGGAAACUCUGGUGGAGGACCGCAGCGAUUCUGACGUGCAAAUCGAUCGUCAAACGUGAGUAUA
rnacentral:rRNA from 1 species